UACGAAGGGGGCUAGCGUUGCUCGGAAUGACUGGGCGUAAAGGGCGCGUAGGCGGUUUGUACAGUCAGGUGUGAAAUUCCCGGGCUCAACCUGGGGGCUGCACUUGAUACGUAUGAACUGGAGUGGGGAAGAGGGUCGUGGAAUUCCCAGUGUAGAGGUGAAAUUCGUAGAUAUUGGGAAGAACACCGGUGGCGAAGGCGGCUCACUGGUCCGAUACUGACGCUGAGGUGCGAAAGCGUGGGGAGCAAACAGG
rnacentral:rRNA from 1 species